UACGUAGGCAGCGAGCGUUGUUCGGAGUUACUGGGCGUAAAGAGUGCGUAGGCGGUUUUCUAAGUUUGGUGUGAAAUCUCCCGGCUCAACUGGGAGGGUGCGCCGAAGACUGGAAGGCUUGAGUAUGGGAGAGGUAAGCGGAAUUCCUGGUGUAGCGGUGAAAUGCGUAGAUAUCAGGAGGAACACCUGCGGUGUAGACGGCUUUCUGGACCAUAGCUGACGCUGAGACACGAAAGCGUGGGUAGCAAACAUG
rnacentral:rRNA from 1 species